AGCCAUAAGUGAAAGAAAAAGGAAACUAAACAUCCACAAGUAAUAUGAUUCAUUUUAGAUCAUAUACAUUGCAUUCAUCUAGUAAUUUAUCGAAUUCUUACAUUCAUUACAUCAUUUCUUUCUUACAUCACAUUUACCUCAAAAUACACAUCGCAUUCUUUUCUUUACAUUACUAAUCAUCAUGUACAAAAGAUGAACAUAGGGUACUUUA
rnacentral:lncRNA from 1 species